CUGUCAGGUACCUGCAACACAGAGGCACAGCGUCAUCUGAAUGAAAAAAAGAAAUACAAAGUCUCCUCAUUCCAUCACUGACAGACGGGGGAAGAAACAUGGAUAUUGCUUGUCUGCUUUAUGUGGAAACGCCAACGCUGCAUCCUACAGACCUCAAAAUAAAGAACCUUGACUGACUGAACAGAGGACAUGUAUGAUUACUUGGUCACUGGAGUCUGAUAUCGCGGAUCAAUCCCAGCAACUGGCUGUUUGCAAUGGGGUCUGGUGGCAAAAGUGCUCCAGCCCUGAUUACAUCAACAACGAAAAGCUACCUGAAUGCAGCGGACAUUAUGCCAUCAACCAACAAGUGGCCUGAAACAUCACAAGUUACCAACAUGUCAAUGUGCUCGAACCAGUCUUAAAGGUUUGGGGGAAUCGUCCAGUUCCUGCUUGCUGGUUAACUUAAAGCAUUAAAGCAUUCUUAAUUUAAACUGUCCAAGAGUGUGCUAAAGUCAUAACUUGUGAACAUGUUUUUUUUUUUUAAGUCCCUGUAUGGAUUGGAUGUGGGCUUUAUUAAACCUUAUAUAAUCUAAACAGUAUUAUAUUAUUAGAAUAACCUACUUAAUGUAUUGUUGCAUUGUCACUUAAUAUAGAAGUUCUGUAAACUCUGACCAUCACACUCAUGUGCUCAUUGAACAGCCCAUUCCAGAUUCAGUCCCUAGACCCUUUGCUGUUAAUAACCUCCAAUCUUCAGGGAAAACCUUCCACUAGAUGCUGAAGUGUGGCUGUGGGGAUUUGUGCUCAUUCAGCCACAAGAGCAUUAGUGAGCUCAGGCACUGAUGUCAAGUGAGGAAGUAAGGAUGUGGUAGCUCAGUGGUUAAGGUGCUGGACUACUGAUCGGAAGGUCAUGGGUUCGUACCCCAGAACCAAGCUGCACUGCUGGGCCCCUGAGCAAGGCCUUUAACCUUCAACUGCUCAGUUGUAAGUCACUCUGGAUAAGGGUGUCUGCUAAAUGCCGUAAAUGUAAAUGAAGUCUGGGGUUCAGUCAGUGUUCCUGUUCAUCCCAAAUGUGUUCAGUGGGCUUGGGGUCAGUGCAGGACACUGGAGUUCUUGCACUAUAACCUUGGCAAAUCAUUUCUCCAUGGAACUCAUUUUGCUUACCGGAGCAAUGUCAUGCUUUAAAAGCCCCUUAGUGCUGGUGAGGAGUAACAGUAACGCUACAGCAUACUGAGACAUCCUAUACAACUGCGUGUGGCCGACAUUGUGCUAACAGUUCAGGGAAGAACCACAUUCGGCCGUGAUUGUCAGGUGCUUGCAAACAUUUAUAGUAACAAAUUAGAAUAAUAAAUGUUAAUUAAGUAAAAUGUAUUCAGAAAUGUAUUCCCAUUGAAUCAAUUAUUUUAGACCAACUACCAGAAAUUACUAAUAAUAUGCAAUAUUCAUCAUAAUGAUGGAGAUGUUACAAUUAAGCAAUGCGUUUAAUUUCUAUAUAAAUAAAUAAAAAACAAAUUAAAAAGGCUAGAAUGU